rnacentral:lncRNA from 1 species
AACAUUCUUCUUCUUCAUAAUACAACUUGUGCUAUCUUUCAUCUCUAAUGGAUUGCCAUCAGCUGUAAUUCCAACACCCCCCUCGGAGGAACGAACACCCAAUUUGCAUAACAGAAGAUGGUGAGAGGUACCUGUGAGUGGCUUAGUAAAAAGAUUUCGAGCUGGGAAGACGAAGGGAGAAGUGAUAAAGAAAUCAAACUAGCAAGAUAUUGUUGUCGAACAAAGUGGCAAUCUAAGUCAACAUGCUUCGUCCGUUCAUGAAAAACAGGAUUUUUAGCGAUAUGAAUUGUUGCCUGGCUAUCGGAAUGAAGAGAAAUGGGUAGACAAGGAGGCAGUGUAAGAUCCGAAAUAAGAUGGACGAGACAUGUUAACUCAGCAACAACACGACGCAUAGACCUAUACUCUGCUUCGGCAGAGGAAAGUGAAAGAAAAGGUUGCUUUUUCGAUUUCCAAGAAAUUGAACUACCACCGAGGCUAAUGUAGAAACCACUGACCGACUUGCGAGAGUCAGGACAACUGGACCAUUCAGAGUCACAAAAAGCCAAUAAGGUGAAAUAUAGGGAAGAAUUAAGGAAAAUCCCUAAGCCAGGGUCAGAAAGAAGAUACCGAAGGACAUGAUAAGCAGCCAAGAGAUGGGCGUGAUGAGGGCGUUGCAUAUAUUGGCUAAGAUGCUGAACGGAAAAGGAGAUGUCAGGCCGUGUGUGAGUGAGAAAGUUGAGUUAUCCAAUAAGGCGGCGAUAACUAGUGACAUCAGAAAGGGGACAACCCAUAUCAGAUUGUAAUUUCAGGGAGGGAUCCAAAGGGGAAAGAGCGGGUUUAAGUCCAAGGCACUGAUAUUCGGAAAAGAGCUCCAAGAUGAACUUGCGUUGAUUAAGAAUCAAACCAUGUGGUUCCCUGAUAACUUCAAUACCCAAAAAAUAAUGUAAGUCUCCCAAAUCUUUGAUUUUAAAUUCUUAGUCCAAGAAUGAUUUUAGAGCAUCUAGUUCUGCCUUGUUGUCGCAUGUAACUAGAAUGUCAUCAACGUAGACGGCUAGGAUGGGAAUGGAUGAAUCAUGACACUUGUAAAAUAGUGAAUAAUCAUUGAGUGAGUGAGUAAAGCCUUUAAACUACAAGGCUAAAGUCAGACGAGCAUACCACUGUCGUGAGGCCUGUUUUAGUCCGUAAAGAGACUUCUUUAGACGACAAACUUGAGUAUGAUCAUCUACUUUCAAACCAGCUGUAAAAUUUCAUGCAGACUUCCUCAUCUAACUCACCAUGAAGAAAUGUGUUAUUAACGUCUAAUUGAUAUAACCCCACCCCUUCUUAAUGGCAAUAGCAAGCAAACAACGUAUUGUAGUAAUCUUGACGACAGGGCUGAAUGUUUUUGUAAAAUCAAUGACAUCUUUUUAAAAAUCACCUCGUACAACCAACCUAGCCAUUAAUCUCUCGACAGUACCAAGAGAAUUGAGCUUAACUUUGUAUACCCAUUUAGUAGGCAAAGCUUUCUUUCCCGGAGGUAAUGAGACCACGUCCCAAGUGUUGUUACUGAUCAAAGCCUCUAGCCCUUAAUCAUAGAAUCCUUCCAACCCGGAUAUAAAAUAGCUUGGGUAAAAGAAGUAGGUUAUUGAAUAUGGGAUAAAUAAGUGAUAUAAUUCUGGUUAGAGUGAGAUAAUGCAGAGAAAGCGAAAAGAGAAACAGGUGAAGGGGAAGAUAAACAAAUAUCAAACACAGGAGAAAGAUGGACACUGUUGCAAACAUAAUCUUGUAGGUAGGCUGCAGUCUUAACAGAUCUAGUGGAUUUUCGUAAAACAAUAGGAUCUGGAGAAUAAAUAGAAGAAGUAGAAACAAGGGAAUGGGAUACAGAAAUAACAGGAACAGGAGCAGCAGAUGUAUGAGAUGAAAAAUCAGGCUCAUAAAAAACUUGAGGAAUGUCAAAAGGAAACAGAGAAACAAGGGGCUGAAUAGCAGCAAACGGGUAAAUGUCUUCAUGGAGUUUUACAUCCCUCGAAAUAAAACACUUCUGAGAAAUGAGACUUAACAAUUUGUAACCUUUUUUGCCAAAAGGAUAUCCAAGAAAAACACAAGGCUCGGCCCUUGGUGCUAAUUUAGAUCUUCCUUGGGAAAGAGUAGAGGCAAAAGGAAGACACCCAAAACACUUUAAAUGAGAGUAACAAGGAGGAUAAUGAAACAAUCUUUCAUAAGGUGUUUUGAAAAAGAACAACUUAGUGGGGCACCUAUUAAUAAAGUAAGUGGUUGUCAUAAGAGCAUCCCCCAAAAUUUAUGUGGGAGAUGGGACUGAAAAAGAAGGGAUCGACAUAUUCCUAAUAAAUGUUUGUGUUUUCUGUCAGCCACACCAUUUUGUUGUGGUGUGGCGACACAAGAGGUUUGAUGAAUGAUCCCUUUGGAGGAUAGGAAUUUAGAAUUAUCAAAACUGGCACCUAAUUCCCAAGCAUUAUCCGAUCUAAUGAUUUUGAUUUUUUUUUUGAAAUUGUCUUUCUAUCAUAGCAAGGAAGGACUUAAGAAUGGUGAAUGCAUUGAUUUUAGUGGUUAGCAAAAAAGUCCAAGUUCCUCUACUAAUGUCAUCUACGAUGGUCAAAACAUAUGGAUAUCCAUCAUAAGUAGGUGUUUGAAAAGGCCCCCAUGAAUAAAUAUUAAUUAAGUCAAAAAUUUGUUUAGAAGAAAUAUGACUUGUGGGAAAAGGGAGUUUGUGUUGUCUUGCUAAGGGGAAAAUAGAACAUGGCACAAAAAACUUAAAAACAACAGAAACUGGAAUUUCAUUUAUAUGCUGAAUAUUUAAAAGAGGGAUAUGACCCAAUCUUACAUGCCAUAAUCUACUUUUAACAUCAUUAGAAGAAAUACAAGAUAAAGUGGAUGUAACAUCCUUGAAGGAAUGAGAACUACAACUGGAAUUUAUAAGAGAAAGAGCAGCUGGAAGCCUAUUCUUGAGGACAUAGAGACCAUUCCGAUUUUCACCAAGGAGCAUUGGGCUCUUCAUGUAAGGGCCCUGCAUGAAACAAUGAGAAGAGGUAAAAAUUAACAUCUUAGAAAGUUGUUUGCACAACAAAUGGACAAACAACAGGUUGAAGUGAAAACUGGCACAAAUAAAACAUUGUGAAUGAUAAGAUUAGAGAAAAGUUUCACAGAACUUGAAUGUGAGACCUCAACCCUUUGGGAAUUAGGCAAAUUAACACAAAUUGAUUUAGGCAAAGGUUCAAAAUUGAAGAAGAAAUCCUUGUUAUAGCUUAUGUGUUCACUUGCACCUGAGUCUAUUAUCCAAGUUUGCCUAGUGUAGUUGGUAGGAUCAACCUGUAAAUUUAAAGAAAAAGGACUAGGAAAUAGAGUUAUACCAGCACAAUUAGCAGAUGUUGUGACUUCAGAGACAUUGUUGCUUUGAUCAUUGUUUUUCAUAUUUUGGAGCAUUUGCAUCACCUGUGCUAAUUGGUCAAUUGAGAGUAAUUUUCCUUGUUCUGUUAAGUCGACAUCAGCCAUAAGAGAAUUUCCAGAAAACUCAUUUGAGGUGACAGCAUGUCCCUGAACAGAAUUCUUAAAAUUUUUCUGCCUAGUAAAUUUAAAAUUAGGUGGAAAGCCAUGUAGGUUAUAGCAUUUCUCAAUAAGAUGCCCUGCUUUAUUACAAUACUUGCAUAAAAGAGUUGAUCUCUUAGCAUCAUAAGGAACUCUCUGACCCCUGAAAUCAGUAGAAAAAGAUCUUUGACUAGCAUUUGUUUAACUUAUCGCAAUAAAAGAAGAGGAUUCUCCAGGAAAUUUUGGGAUAUUUUGCAACUCCCUUUGCUUCUCCUCCUGAAUCAAUAGUGCAUAAGCAUUUGAAAUAGAGGGUAAGGGUGAGAUCACGAGUAUGUUACCUCUGGCAGCACAAUAAGACUCAUGGAGUCCCAUUAAAAAGUGAACUAGACGUUGAUCUUGUUUAGCCUUAAUGUUUUUCUCUUUUGCUCCACAGGAACACACACAAGAUCAAAUAGUAAAAGAGUCUAAAGUAUCCAAUUCAUCCUAGAGUCGCUUAAUCCUGGUAUAGUAAGCAGUAAUAUCAGAUGACCCUUGGACAAGGUCACUCAGUUCCUUUUGAAGCUGGAAAAGACGAGGGUCAGAGCUCUGACCAAACCUGUCUUCUAAUUCUACCCAAAUAUCUUUAGCAGUGGAGUAAUACAAGACACUUUCAUAAAUUUCUCUAGAAAGAGAGUUCAAUAACCAAGAAAUUACCAUGUUGUUAGAUCUGGACCAAGCUCGAUGUAGGUUUGUUCCUACUUUAGGUUCCACAGUCGAUCCAUUAAUGAAACCUAUUUUGUUCUUAGUAGUUAAGGCUAUCCACAUCCUUCUCUUCCAUCCACCAAAGCUCUGGCCAUCAAAAAUUGUAUCGGCUAGCAAAGUACCAGGAGAAUCAGAAGGUGAUAUGAAGUAAGGAUGAGCAGGGUUAAUCAAUUCAGAAGAGGGUAUAUUGACAGUAGGAAGGGGAACUGUAGUCCCAGUAGCUAUUUCAGAGGUUUCUACCAUGAUAAAACUGAGGGAAAAAUAGAGAUUAGAGCUCUUGCUCUGAUACCAUGAAUGAAUAAACGAAGAAAGAUUGAGAUGAAAUUUUCUGUGUAUCUUAUUUCUGCAUAGCAAGAGUAUAUAUAGGAAAUACAAGGAAUCAAAACCUAACAAACUAACAGAUGUCCUACUUUAAUUGGCUAACUUGUAACAAACUAUUAUUUACAAUAAACAAACAAUUAUUUACAAUUAAUUAAACAUAAAAGAGAUAAUAUUUACAGAAAGAAAAUGUGGAAGGUUCUGAAUUGAUGCUAGCUGUUGAGGCCACCUGUCUUUCUUCAAUCUUCAUUUUUUCAUUUUUCUCUUUUCAUUAUCGAUGUCAGAAACAUUCUUCUUCUUCAUAAUACAACUUGUGCUAUCUUUCAUCUCUAAUGGAUUUCCAUCAGCUGUAAUUCCAACAACAUGACAAUUUUUCUUUCUACUUACAAAUUUUCCCCAUUUAUCAGCUAUAUUACAAUUUUCUGUGGCAAGUCAACUUUUUAUAUCUUCUAAUAGCUAAAUGGUACAGUAUUGUAGAUGUCAAAUGUUCCUCGUUUCACCAUGGUGUCAUAUAUUGCUUAUUUCUUCGUGAUAAAGUCCAAGCGCAGACGGCAUAGACACACAAUGAUCAUCAACAAAAAUGGAACAAGAUGCAAAAUUAGAGAAAACGAAAAGGAAAAAACAACUGAAAUAUAAAUUGUACUGAUAUUUUUGCUACAAUGUAGAUAGAUAUGGCACUAACCAUAUUGACAAGUCUCAGAGCUGCAAGCCGUGUGAAUUGUUACCCAAUCAGUGUUUGAAAAAUAGAAUUACUAAUUCUGACAAAACUUUUCAGAAACAAGAAGUACCCAAAGUAUACUGAAUCUGUACGAGAGAUGAACAUAAAUUAAAUAAAAGAAAUAAAAUAUGUAACGUACCACAAUCUGAAUUUUAUUUGAAUAGAAAAUGAAACAAGUCCACUAAACUCACAAUAUGCCCUUAAGGAAAUUAUUCCCCCCUAGUAUCCGAGGUUUCAUUUGGAAAAUGUCCUCUCAGGGUAAAAUGAUUUCAAUCACUAGCGUAUAGAUAUCGAAAACUCUGGUGUCAGCGAACCACUCAACAGUAGUAAAAUACACGAAGUAAUUUUUAUGCAGAAGAAGAAGAAGAGAUCAGAAAAAAUCAUAAGGAAAUUAUGAAGAGUGAAUGAUAUUUAUAGGGAAGAGGAAUAGGUUCUGAAAUGUUACAACCCUUUCAAGAAUCCACACAACCAUUAAUGAAAGUUUGCAACCUUUCAAAUGGUAAUGAUUAUUCCUGAAAGUUACAACAUUUCAAAUGGUAAUGAUUGUUCCUGAAAGUUGCAACCUUUUAGAACAGUCAUUUCCUAACAGUGGAAAAUUUACAUAAAAGAGGAAAGUUUUUAGAUCAAACAGGUCGCGCGCGGAUCCGAGUUGGGUCGAGUUAAUCAACUAAAAAAUUGAAAAUGUUUCCGUUACCAACCAAUUAAUUAAAAACAUUUUGGCCAUUUCAUUUAAUUAAUUAAUUUAAUAAUUAAAACAAAAUUUGUCCAAAUAAAUAAUCUCUCGAUAGAUCAAUUUCCAAAGCCAUAGCCGAAGCCAUAGUUGUAGCCGAAGCCGAGCUGAGCCGAGCCGAGCAAGCAACGACUACGACGGUGCGAGGGGGGUCCCUCUUUCCAGUCCUUUUAACAAUUAAUAGAAGUAUUUCUAUAUUUAAACUCUCCUAAGUUUCUUUCCACCACUGAUAAGGGAAAAAUGCCUUUUCAUUAAAGCACAAGAGGACUUUGCAAGUUCCCAACUCUUCAAGUUCUCAACUUUUCAAGUUCUCCUCUUUCCCUCUAUUUCCCAUCAAUUCUUGCUACAUACCCAACGAUCCCCCACAUUGAUAGAGAAUGAUUAUAACGUAGGAAUGCACAGACAAGUGUGUACUUUACGGGCAAGGAUUAAUUGAUCUUGAUAGGUAGGUUUCUCCUUGGACUUUCCGUAGUGAACAUAUGUCGGAUAUACUCGGUCAAUCAGUAGAUGCGAUAUCUUUGAACCGUCGAGCUUUGGUGUAUACCUAGACAACCAUAUGUCACACAAUUAACCCUUAAUUAUUUAUGGUUCUUACGGUUGUGUUCGUUUCAGCCAUAAACACCUCAUGGUUUUAUGAGUGUAUAAAGAAUAGGAUUUUGACAUAAAAUUCUCUGUAGCGACUUACAAUUCACACUCAAAUAGGUGAUUUCUAACUGUGUCAUCUCGUAGAUACACUAUUUGGUCAUUUCUACCAAACUCAGCAUACUAUUAAAAACUUUACGCUUUAUUACCUCAUUAACAAGACUUAAAGAUUUAACCAUGUUCUUGAACAUUGUCUUCAUCAUGAGAAUGGAUUCAGUUAAUUGACAAUGUCGAACUGUCAGCCACAACUUUUUUUUUCUCCUUGAAUCUACUGCUUGGGAUCUCCAGUCUGCUAGAUAGAGUUACCGUCAUGUUGAUUUGUCCUAAGCCGUAAACCCAUUUCCUUAUAUGGUCUUUCAACUACCUCUCUUACUAGGUCUUUUGUUAGUGGAUCUGACAAAUUAUCACUUGACUUUACAUAGUCAACUGUAAUAAUUCCACUAGAGAGCAGUUGUCUUAAGCUGUUAUGUCUCCUUCGUAUAUGAAGAGACUUUCCGUUGUACAUGACGCUCCCUACCCUACCUAUUGCUGCUUGACUAUCGCAAUGUAUGCAAAUAGAUCCAACAAGUUAAGGCUAGAAUGGAAUAUCUCUAGGAAUUUCUGGAGCCAUUCAACUUCUUCACCAGCCUUAUCCAAAGCGAUGAAUUCAGAUUCCAUUGUGGAGAGAACAAUACAUGUUUGUUUGGAGGAUCACCAUAUCCUUCAAUCACAUCAGGAUAUUUAUUAUAAUUCAAAGCAUAGUGUGUGUAUAUUUCAGAUACCCCAACACACGUUUCAUUGCCAUCUAGUGAUUUUGAUUCCAGUGAACCGACUGAUUUUGUUAAUAACACAUUCUAUAUCUGGACGUGUACAAUUCAAAAUAUACAUCAAACUUCCCAAUACUUUGACAUAUUCAAAUUGAAAGUCACUUUGGCCUGCAUUCUUUUGAAAUGUACAACUUAAACCAAUUGGAGUUAUGACAACAUUGAAAUUCAAGUAAUUUAACUUAUCCAAUACUCUUUCAAUAUAAUGAGAUUGAGAUAGUGCUAGUCCCUGGGUAGUUUUUAUAAUCCUGACCUUUAAGAUCAAAUCAACAACUUCUAAGUCCUUCAUAUCGAACUUGAUGGACAACAUGUGCUUAGUAUCAUUUAUAUUGUCAAUGGAUUUACUCAUUAUUAACAUGUCAUCAACAUGUGAACAAACAAUGACUUCAUGAUUCAUAACGUUUUUAAUGUAAACACGUUUAUCACAUUCGUUAAUCUUAAAUCUAUUUGUCAACAUUGUUUGGUCAAAUUUAGCAUGCCAUUGUUUGGGUGCUUUAUUGAGCCCAUAAAGUGGCUUCACAAGUCUGCACACUUUCUCUUCUUUACUAGGAACUACAAACCCUUCAAGUUGUUCCAUAUAAAUUUCUUCCUCCAACUCUCAAUUUAAGAAAGCUGUCUUUACAUCUAUUUGGUGGAUUUUAAGAUCAUGCACUGUUGCUAGUGCUAUUAACAUCCUAAUUGAUGUUAUCCUUGUUACUGGAGAGUAUAUGUCAAAGUAGUCCAUACCUUCCUUUUUUCUGUGCCCUUUGACUAUCAGUCUAGCCUUCUAUUUUUCAAUAGUCCCAUCAGGUUUCAUUUUCCUUUUAAAGAUCCACUUUGAUCGUAAAGGUUUAUUUCUUGGAGGAAGAUCAGCCAAUUCCCAAGUGUGGUUACUUAAAAUUGAUUCGUUCUCACUAUUGACUGCUUCUUCAAGUUAACUCAUACGAAGACAUAGUUGCUUUAAAUGUCUGAGGCUCAUUAUCAAGUAAUAGUUCCACAAAAUUUGGUCCAAAAGAAGCAAGUUUCCAUUGGCGAGUACUACACCUAGAAUCCUUACUAUAUAGUGUAUUUUCCGUUGAUUCUUUGCAUUGUCGUUUAGGUCUUUCAUUUGUCGACUCGUAUUCAAUUUUUUACAGACAAAUGUUUUCAAAAACUCUAAGUUAUAUGACUCAAUUAUUGUAUUAACAUGAAUCUCAGGAUUAUCAAAUUUGUGAACCAAAAAUCAAAGGCCUUACUGUUCACAACAUACCCAAUAAAUAUACAGUCUACUAUUUUGGGUCAAAUUUUAACCCUCUUUGGAAUAAGAACUUCUACGUUGGCUAAACACUCGCACACUUUGAAAUAUUUCAAGUUGGAUUUCCUUUCUUUCCACAACUCAUAUGAAAUUGAUUGUGUUUUUCGAUUGGGUACUCUAUUGAGUAUCUUAUUAGCCGUAACGAUAGCUUCCCCCCAAAGGUUUCACGGUGAAAUAUAAUUGAUCAUCAAGGCAUUCAUCAUUUCCUUUAAUGUUCUGUUCUUCCGUUCUGCCAAACCAUUUGACUAUGGUGUAUAGGGUGCAAUAGUUUGAUGAAUAAUACCAUAUUCCAAACAUAUCUCUGCAAAAGGAGAUUCAUAUUCUCCACUCAUAUCACUUCGAAUCAUUUUUAUCUUUAGAUUCAAUUGGUUCUCCAUUUAAAUUUUUUAUUGCUUACAUGCAUCAAUUGCUUCAUCCUUAAUAUUAAGCAAAUAUACAUAAUAAUAGAAUGCAAUCAUCAAUAAAAGUUAUAAAAUACUUUUUUCCACCACGAGAUGAUGCCAAUUUCAUAUCGCAUAUAUUUGUGUGAAUUAAGUCUAAAGUUUUGGAAUUUCUUUCAACAGACUUAUAAGGAUGUAUAAUAAACUUACUUUCCACAUAAAUUUACAAUUUUGAUUUAUCGCGUUUAAAAUUAGGCAAUACUUCUAGAGUAACAAAUUUUUGCAAGGCUUUGUAAUUUACAUGUCCUAGAAGGGCAUAUGCCAAAAAUCAUUUGACUCCAAUAAGUAAACAGUACCAGAAUUCUUAUUAAUAUUGUCAACAACCAUUACAUUCAGUAUGAAAACACCCUCAUUGAGGUAGUCCUUUCCUAUGAAUAUGUAAUUCUUACUUAUACCCAUUCAUAACGAGUAGUGUAGCAGAAACUAAAUUCUUCCUAAUAGUAGGGCCAUGCAGAACACUGUUCAAAGUGAACACCUUUUUGAAUGUCAUUUUUAACAUUACUUUCCAAGUUCCUGCAAUCCUUGCUAUUGUGUUUCCCCUGAAAAAAUGUUUAUCGUACUAAGCAAGAGGGUAUGUUGCAAAGGUUUCUUUCGCAGAUAAAAUAUGUCGAGUGGAACCUGAGCCAACAAACCACUCCUUAGGAUUUCCGACUAAGUUACGCUCAGAGAUCAUCGCACACAAGUCAUAUGUAUCUUCCAUAUCUUCCACGAUUUUUUCUUGACUUUUGGCUUUGCCUUUGUCUUUGUCCUUUUGUUGGAGCACAACAAUCAGAAGGCCUAUGACAAACCUUACCACAUUGUAAUAGUUGCCUUUGAAUUUGUUCUUGGCCUGUUCUGACUUCUGCCCAUUGGACUUCUUUCUCUUUUUGUCUUUGGUAGGAGCUUCUUCAACAAUAUUAACUCCAAUGAUUGUUGAACUCUUACGAGACUUCUAUUCAGCAGUUUUGUUAUAUUCCUCAAUCUAGAGCCGAAUCACAAGAUCUUCAAGCUUCUUUUCUUUACACUUGUGCUUUAGAUAAUUCUUUAAUUCGUUUCACAAAGAGGCAACUUCUCAAUCAUUGCAGCAUUUCAAAAACUUCAUUUACUACCAUAUAUUCAGCAAUCAUAUCAUGGAGAAUAAGUUGAAGUUCCUGCACUUAUGAUCCAACAGUUUUACUAUCUACCAUUUUUUUGUCCAAAAACUUUGCGACCACAAACUUUUUAAGCAUGCAUCUUCAAUCUUAUAUUUUUUUCUCAAGUGCAUCCCAUAAAUCUUUUGAAGUUAUCAUUGCACUAUAGACAUUAUAUAAGUCAUUCUCUAAAGAACUCAAAAUGUAGCAUUUACGUAGGAAGUCUGCCUGUUUCCAUACUUCAAUAAUCAUGAAUUUUUUCUGUCUAGCUUAUCACCAGCAGGCACUGGAGUUUCCUCACUGGUAAUUUUCUGUAGACAAAGAGCGGUAGGCCAGAAAAAUACCCGUUGCUGCCAUCCUUUGAAAUUUACACUAGUAAAUUAUCCGGUUUCUCUACUUGUGGUACAACAGUUUGAGUUUGUGCAGCAACAAACACUCUAACACCGUUGUUUGCCAAUUCUCAUGAAAAAAAUAGAUACAGCCUUAGUAAGUAAUAACAUAUAAUUGCAGACUUUAAGGAGCAUAAAAUCAUAAAGAUUUAUGUCUCACUAGAAACACAUAUUGAUAAUAAUAAAUAAUUUCCUUAAGAUUGUUGCCCAAUUUGUGUUUAAAAAAUAGCAUUACUGAUUCUGAAAAAACUUUGCAGAAAUACGAAGUAACCAAAAUUUACUGAAUUAGAACGAGAGAUGAACAUAAAUUAAUUUUAAAGAAUUACAAUCUUUAAUGUACCAGAAUCUAGACAAAUUCGAACAGAAAAAGAGCAAGUCCACUAAACUCACAAUGUCCCUUAAGGAAAUUAUUCCCUCAAUUAUCCGAGUCGGGUCGUAUGUAACACAAUUUAUUCAAAACAUACCAAAAAUCAGUUUUUCAAAAAAUCUGCCGGUGCAAUCGACGGACCAUAGGCUGACCCACGAUUCGUCCUCCACAUCUGUUGAUUGAGUUUGAAACCCCAAAAAUCCCAGCCUAGAAAAAUUUGACGAAGUGUCGAACGACAGACGGACCUAUGGUCUAUAGGUCAUAUUACGAUCCGUAGUCUUUGUCUAUCGGUCAACACGCCAUUUACCCACUCUCUGACAUGAAUAACGAUUGACCAGUACGGUCCAUACAUAGACCUUUGGACCAUAGGUUAAAAUUAGUAGACAGUUAGGGGGGAAAUACAGUUAGGUUGACUUUAAAUGGUCAUAACUCUUAGCACAAAAUAAAUUAGGUGUCCCAUGAUAUACCAAAAGAUAGAUAAUUGAAUUAGCUUUCCAUAUAUACUGAUCUUGCUAAAAUCAAACCUCUGAGUAAAAAGAUAUGAUCGUUUUAGUAAAGGCCUCUUGAAUAGACCCAACCUAUGGACCCAAACGACGGAUCGUCAGUCCUGGUUGUCACUUGAUUCGACAUCAAUUAACUCAGGGGUCUUUUGGUCUUUUCCCACUUCAUUUAAAUCCUAAGAUAUGUCAUUUUGAUCCUAAUCAGAUCUAGAAACAUAACUAAAACUUACCUAAGUCAAAUCAUUAAUCAAAACUUAGAACAUUAGAAGCAAUAAAGGAGAAAAAGGUCAGGAACCCUAGUUCAAGAACGCAACAAGGUUCCAGCAGUUCAAACCCCAAAAUCUAAGUGUUUCUCCGUGAAUUUCAUCACUAGGUAUGUGGGAUUUCAAUAGUGGCUUCCUUUCACCCAUUGGGUCCUAGUUUUCAAUCAGUUCAUGAUUCUAUUAUCAUUAUUAAACCUAGGGUUUCUAUAUCUACAACAUAUCAUCAUAAAUUAGUUAAAUAUAUGUUCCAAAUUAAAUUGUUAAGUUAUUAUUCAGUUUAUCGCUUGAAUUUCAAAAUCCUAACUACGUAUUUCUUUAGAUCCUUAAUUACUCAUGCUAGGUCAGAUAUUUCAGUUACUUCCGAUAUAGAUGCCUUAGUUAUAAAUGCAUAAUUACCAGAUUAGUUGUUGCAUGUUCAAUUUUGAGUUAUCCAAUAUUUACAUAAACUCAUUCAUAAUCAAUUAAGUACAUAUUUCAUUGGGAGUAUCAUAAUAUCGAGUUGGACUUGGGUUAGGUUGUAAGUUCCCUUUGUGGGCAAUCAGUUUAGUGAUCACGCCAGCAUGCCUUUAUACCUCUGGCAAGGUAUAUUGGGUCCUCUCAUUGGGUGUAUAUAUCGGACUCCAUAUUUAGAUCAUGUGGUUUUAUUAUCAGUUAUUAGUAGCUCCCACAGUUCAGUCAGACUCUAUUGCAUUGACCAUUUAUCAUUAUAUUCAGUAUUCAGUUCCAGCAUGUUAUAAAUUGGUCAUUGCAUUCAGUAUAUCAUGUUCAAAUUAUUAUAAUUGCUUUUGUGCUUGUUCCAUUAUGUUUUAUUUCAUCUUUACUCUAUCCUACAUGCUCAGUACCUUAAAGUAUUGAUGCAUACUUGUGCUACAACUUCUCGUGAUGUAGGUUCAGAUUCUCAGCAUCCAGAUCACACAUAGAUCGAUUAUCGAUCCCCAGUUCUGCAGAUUCAGUGUUGAGCCCUCAUUCUUCAAAGACAAUAGACAUGAGUUCAUUUCAGUAUUUUUGUCAUUUAGUUUCAGUUUUUUCUAGACUUAGCAGGGGUUUGUCUCCGUAUUUCUAGUCAAAUAUAGGAUUAUUUCAGACAUAGUUAGUUUCAGCCUAGAAGUGAGUUAAUAUUUUCUUUGUAUUAAACUCCUCAAUUUUCAUAUGUCUUAGUUUAAGCAUAUGGGUAUUCCCCAACUUUUCAUUUUAAGUAUGAUUUAGCUUCCUCAACAGUUUAUAUUUUUAUGUAUGGUCAUGAUCAUGCCAGCAGGGUUAGCUUGGGAUCACUUGUGGUCCUUGGUCCCGUGUACGAGUCUUGGGGAUAGCUCGGGGUGUGACAGUUUUGGCCAUUUAAUUUAAAUAAUUAAAACUGUAGCUGAAGCCAAGCAAGCGACGACAACGGCGCUAGGGUGUCCAUCUUUUCAACCAUUUUAACAAAUAAUAGGAGUGUUUCUAUAUUUAAACUCUCUAUUUUUCUUUCCACCACCGAUGAGAGACAAAUGCCUUUUUAUUAAAGCAUAAGAAAAAUUUUCAAGUUCCCCACUCUUCAAGUUCUCAACUUUUCAAGUUUCUCUCUUUCCCUCUAUAUCCCGUAAAUUAUUGCUACAUACCCAACAUGAAUUUCCUUGAAAAAAAGGAAACAAGGGGCAUGUUUCUCCUUCUUGGUGCACCACUCUCUCUGGCGUUCUAUUUCAUAAUUUAUAUUGUCUAUGCCUUGUCAAAACCAAAUAGAUUCUAAGGUGUGUGCAUACUCAUCAUUUUACACUGGAUAAUUCAGGGUCAUAUAGUAAGACAAUCAUGCCAAUUUUAGUUACUGACAAACAGGAGGUGAAUUGCUGAGUGGGAUUACUAUUUCAACAUCUUCUCCUCUUAUUGAUAUACGGUUUAUGUAAUUUUCUGAAAUAUUUCCCCCCAAAUGAUCACCGAGUUUCAUUCUAGUAGACCUGGAUAAUCUACUAAUGUGCUUAUUGAAAAGAACAAAGAGUACUUGAUAAAUUAGAUUAGCAUGGGAGUGACAUUGGAUAAUUUAUCAUCCUUUCCGUGAUGCUCCUUGGAAGACAAAAUAACCCAUGCAGUGUGAGUCACUGUCCUCCAUGUAAUUUCACAUUCAAGUCCUACAUGCUAUGUUAAAUGAAAAGCUUCUCAAAAAAUGAAAUAAAAAAGAGAUAAAGGUUGAUUCUAUGGUAUCAAAUGAAAACUUAGGUUACAUAUAGAACAAUUAUGCUUCGUUGCCUCUUGCACUAUUGAAAUUCCGUCCAUCAAUAACUUUUCUAGUUAGUAAUUACCCAACUUAUUAGUAAGAUAUAAUAAUACAACAAACUUGAAACAAACCUACACGAGUUUAUAACUAGCUGAACUCAACUAACAGUGCAAGAUGAGGUAAUCUUAUUUUUUGAAUAAAUAUUGGACUUAGACAGGCUUAAAAAAUCUGACAUGAAUAGCGAGGAGGAUUAAGAUAGCCGAGUCAAAUAUAAUCAUAAGCAAUUGAACUAGAUGUACUCAACCAGGUCAUGAAAUGGUAAAAUGUAUUGUCAAUCAGUAUGGAUUAUGUUAUGCUACCAAUGGUCCACGCAAAGGAACUUUCGUUGACAGAAUAUCAUUGUUUGAAGUGAAAUCAGUAAUAUCUUAGAGGAAAGAAUCAAGUUGUCAAGACAUGUUUAGAUCACAAAAAACAACUUACAGCAAGUAGAGUUUGGCCAUAGUGUUCAUCAGGUAUACAAUUAUGAAUUUUGGAUGUAUCUGGAGGUUGCAAAAGUAAACAAACUUUCAGAAACAGUUCAACAGUAUAAAGAAGAAGAAGCUUAUAGAUUACUGUAGCAUGUCAAGAUCUUUUAGCAAAAGUUAAAGUCAAUAGAUCAACAAACAAUAGAAGAGAAGAAAUACUCGAAUAGCAUGGACACUCACCACAUACUGAUCCUGCCAAAACUAAGGUAGCAGUUUUGGUGAAUUGUAUUGCUGCCAUGGUUUAACUUGACCACAACACGCAAAACAAUUACAAGAAGACGCAGUUCACAAAGAAAAUGAUAAGAGAUAGAUAAAUGUUAGUUGUACUAAUUAUCAAAAAGAUUAUACAAAAUAAGUCAUUGCUUUAGUGGCUCUAGAGUUGAGCCACCCUUUCUUAGGAGACAUCGAAAUUAUUCAAGACACUCGUAGUAAAUAAAGGACAACAGGAACGUAAAUUCUGAUCGAACGCUGCAAAGCCUGUAUAAAUAAAGGAAGUCACUUGAAAUAAAUAAAAUACCCUGAAGAAUGGUGGCGCUGUCUAAGCAUUCAGUGACUAACAAGAAUGACCCGUCUAUGAUUUAAUGCAAUGGCAGAGCCAGUAUUUUUGCUAAGGGUAUUCAUUUUUGUAGGACAAGUGAAAAAAAUAAGCCUUGCUAGUUAGAUUAUAAAGAUUGGCUUCAAAAUAGUCAUACCUCAAUUAUUGAUUUCUACAUAGUCUCCAAGUUGUUCAUACUCUUUACUUGUUCAAUAUUAGAGUUAAAAAUUCCCCUUAAAGCUUACAACACAUGAUGAGACAAAAUAAGCUAAAGGAAAAAAAGAAUUAAGAAAUACCUUUUCACAAAUCACAGUUCAAUGGCGGUUGAGGAUGAAAUAUACAAUGAUUAAAGCUUCAAAUUUCUUAUAACUUGCCAAUAUGUAUGAAAGUUUAGAAGAGAGAAAGGUAAAGUUAAAAUUGUAAAGAGUUUUUGGGAAAAGAAGAAGACAACAAAUUAAAAGGAAAAGACAACAACUAUGAGGGUGUGUUUGGUAUAAAGGAAAAUGUUUUUCAUGGAAAAUGUCUUCCUAGCAAAUGUUUUCCUGGAAAACAUGUAGAUUUUGACUUAUUUUCUCAUGUUUGGUUGGUGUGUAGAAAAUAUUUUUUCGAAAAUAAUUUUUAGUGUUUAAUUUAUGAAUGAAAAAUAUUUUUGAAGAACAUCUUUUAGUUUUACUAGAGUAGAAAAUAGUUUAUAAAACUGAAAAUAUUUUUUUAAAAUAACUUUUUUUGGGUAGUGGUGGUGGGGGUGUGGGGGAUAGUGGGGGUGGGGGCAGGGGGGAGUGGGUAGGAGAGAAAAAAUAAAAAUUUGAAGUUGAUAGUAUUUUUAAAAAUCAAAAUUAACUUUUUUAGGGGUUGGGGGUGGGGGAGAAGGGGGGGGGGGGUACGGGGGCUAGCCAGGGGGAGGUAGGAGUUUAAAAAUAAAAAUUUAAAGUUGAAAAUAUUUUUAAAAGCAAAAAUAAUUUUUUGAAGAGGGGGGUUAGGGGGAGGGUGGUCAGGGAUCCGGUGAAAAAAUAAUAUUUUGAAACUGUUUUUUUUUUAAAUUGAUUUUUUUUCCAAAAAAAAAAUGUAAUUUGAAAUUGGAGGAGAGCUUUGGAAAAUGUUUUCCUUAAUUUUUGAAGGGAAGUCAUUUUCCUUAAUUUUGAGCAAAAUGAGUUGAUUUGGAAAACAUUUUCCAAAACUUUUGCCCAAACCAAACAUGAGAAAAUUGGAAAACAUUUUACAGAAAAUGUUUUCCUUCAUACCAAACACACUCUGAAUCUUUUCUUUUCUUAAAAUUAAGAAAAGCCAAAAAUAGACCUUUUAUUUUCUUUUAGUUUUAUUAACUUAAAAACGCUAAUAUUUAAAAAAAUAAAAUGUUUAAGCCUGGGAUCAAACAAAGGCUGAGUUUUGCUUUUUCUAAGAGAAAAAACAGAAUUAUGGAAAAUAAAAAUGCGAUAAUGGGGCUCAAACCCAGGAUGCAUUGGUACUUAUACACAACCUUAACCAUUGGGCUGUCAACCUUUAUUGUGUCAAUGUUGUUCAAUUAUUAAUAUAUAUCUAAAAAAUUGAUAUUUAGUAUAUAUAUUCGAAAAAAAUUCUAUGAAGAUUGGUCAUCUGACCAACCAUGCCAUGUCAUAGCUCUGCCCAUGGUCUAAUGAGCAUCCACUGACUAACAAGAAUGAUCCGUCUAUGUUAUAAAAUAAAAAAUUUCUCUUUACAUUUGUAGAUAAUGUGAAACUAAAACUCCUGACAUUAUAUAUAAAAGAUUUAAAGUUUAGCUCGCUGUAUGACUCUGAAAUUUGAAAUUCAUCAUGAUCAAUCGAAUUGAGUCAACUGUUAACUAGAUGCAGAAUUGAGCUUGACUUAGAUCUUCAUUCUUUUUAUCCUCUUUCGUGAUUUUCAGGUUCACCAUUCCCUGCCCCACUUCCUUCGUGGGAACCAUCCAGACAACUGUUUGUAAUGGAUUGCCCAUUAACAUCUGAAGACUGCUUUGAAGCUGGAGUGAAAUUUUCUCCAACACCUAUAUCCUUUGAAGAAUUACUGGAUUGCAACCACAUAAAAUGCAUAGUUUGGUCUUGCAGCAUUUACCAUUUAAAUAUGCUCUUUCAGCAAACCAGCGUGAUCGAAAAGAUACCCUAGAAGAUGUAUUUAGCACCUUUGAGCGAUUAUGACAAUCUUGAGGUUCUAAAACUUCCAGCUCAACAGAAAGAAGAUCACAAAAUGUAGAAAAUUGUUCCUACGCGACGUCAACCUAAAAAAGGAAAUAUAGAAAUGAGAAUAUAAGAGCAGAGCAAGUGAACCACCAAAAAAACCUGAACUAUGUACUAGAAAAGGGAGAUAAAACAAACUGAAAGGUUGAAACAAUUACAGUUCCUUCUUCACAUAUCAAUAAGAAAUUUGGGGCACCUAAAUUAGCCAUAGCCAUAAGAAGUAAUUUCCAGAAAAACAAAGAUGUGCAAAUAAGAAAACAAAUUAAAUGCAUACUUUCAUGAUUGAAAACAAUCUACCUCAUUCCGAGGAGCACAAGGUUAUGGAAAAAACAUAUAUAUUUUUACGCCCUUACAGCUUUGCUGUGAAGAACCAACUAAAUCAUAAAUGUAUGGAAAUGGGAACAAACUCUGGCUAAUAAUGAAUAUUUCAAGUCUCACUCAUGAAAGAACAUGCAAGGCAAAAAGCAUAACAACAUAAGGAAAGGGAAGUAAGAAACAUCCACUUUUUAUUUCUUCUAAAAGAAUUUAAUAAAUAUAUCAAAUUUUCUAGAGUGAGGGAGAUUACAUUUACCAGAUCACUAGGCAGAGUUGGGAGGAUCUUGUAAUGUGGUGGGUCAGUUAUCUAGUUUGUAUCGAUUUAAGAUAAGCGGUGCGCCAACUGGUGCCAAUGAACGGAUCAACUGCUUCAAGUUUCAAGCUUCCUGAGCUCUGAAAAGUGAAGAUGACUUGGCAUGAGCUUGAACUUUCCACUUCACCAGAGUUGGAACCUUUUCCUCCUCCCUUUGGUUUCUUUACAGACUGAUCUGGCACUGCCUCACCUUUCACACCCACAGCCUGCAUAAAGGAUGAAGAAGAGAUGGGGAUUUCAGCAGCCAGUUGUUGUGAUAAAGAAGUGUUUACAAUGUACUACUACUACUAUUAGGUAGUGGAGCCUGAUUAAUUUUAGGUUUUCCUAUUGAUUCUCUAUUUUAGGUUUUCCUAUUUAUUCUCUGUAACCAAAAAUAUUCUGAUUUAUUAAUAUAAAUAUACCUCACCACCGUGGAAGUUACUCACGGGGUGUUACCACGAAAUAUUGGAUUUUCUCUUUCUCUCUCUAGAUCUCUCAUCUCUUUCUCUUGAAAGUUCUUGUGUUCUUCAUUCAUCUAAUCUGUGUGCGUGAAUUCAAUCCUAACAACUGGUAUCAAAGCUAAGGAGAUUCAACACGAUCAUAGAAGAUGGAUAGUUCGAAGCUUGGAAUCGAGAAGUUUGAAGGAUCCGAUUUCAGUUUCUAGAAGAUGCAGAUCGAAGAUUAUCUGUACUAGAAAGAUCUUCACGAACCGUUGACCGAGGUGAAGCCGGAAUCCAUGACGGAGGAGAAGUGGAAACUCAAGGAUCGCCAGACUCUAGGGUUGAUCCGGUUUACUUUGUCAAGAAACGUGGUGUUCAACAUCGUGAAGGAGAAGACUACGUCCGGUCUGUUGAAGGCACUAUCAAACAUGUAUAAAAAACCAUCGGCUGAACAAGGUAUAUUUGAUGCGUAGAUUUUUCAAUUUAUAGAUGUCUGAAACUGGAUCCAUUUCUGAUCAUAUAAAUGAGUUCAAUACGAUUGUGAGUCAACUCAAUUAUGUGGAUAUUAAUUUCGAAGAUGAAAUUAAGGCGUUGAUUUUGAUAUCAUCUCUGCCCGAGUCUUGGGAUACUGUUGUUGCUGCGAUUAGCAGUUCCCGUGGAUCUGAGAAACUGAAGUUUGAUGAAAUUCGUGAUGUUGUUCUUAGCGAAAGUAUUCCCAAGCGAGAAGUAGGAGAUUCAUCGGGCAGUGCUCUCAGUGUUGAUUGAAGGGGGAGAAGUAAGAUGAAAGGCCAAAAUCAACAUGGUCGAUCAAAAUCAAAGAAUCGAGGAAAAACACUGAACAGAUCAAACGUGACUUAUUGGAACUAUGGAGAAAAAGGGCACUUUUGGAGGAACUGUACAAAGCCAAUGAAGAAACAGAAUCAGAAAUUUGAGAUGACAAUGAUUCUGUAAAUUCAGUAGAGGACAUUGGGGAUGCUCUAAUCCUUAGUGUGAACAGCCCGGUUGAAUCAUGGAUUUUGGAUUCUGGUGCAUCUUUCCAUUCGUCUCCAAGCAAGGAGUUGUUUUAAAAUUUCAAAUCUGGAAAUUUUGGAAAAGUAUAUCUUGCUGACAAUAAAUCCUUAAAGAUUGAAGGAAAGGGGGAUGUUUGCAUAAAGACCACCUCGGGAAACCAGUGGACAUUGGAGGAUGUCAGAUAUAUUCCUGGGAUCAAGAAAAAUCUGAUCUCUGUUGGUCAGUUGGAUAGCACGGGAUAUGCAACAGAGUUUGGGAAAGGUUUGUGGAAGAUCGUGAAAGGUGCUAUGGUAGUAGCUCGAGGCACCAAAUCUGGAACCUUAUACACCACUGCAGGGUAUAUAAACAUGGUCGUUGUUGCUGAAUGUGUUUCCGGUUCAUGUCUGUGGCACAAAAGACUUGGACACAUGAGUACUAAAGGAAUGAGGAUGCUGGUUGCUAAAGGAGAAUUAGAGGGUCUGAAGUCUGUUGAUAUGGGUCUUUGCGAGAGCUGUGUUAUGGGCAAACAAAAAAAGAGUAAGCUUCACAAAGACUCCUAGAGAGCCAAAGAAAGUGCGGUUGGAAAUGGUCCAUACAGAUGUUUGGGGACCAUCUCUAGUAUCAUCACUUGGAGGAUCCAGAUUCUAUGUUACCUUCAUUGAUGAUUUCAGAAGGAAGGUAUGGGUUACUUCUUGAAGCAUAAGUCAGAUGUGUUUGCAACUUUCAAGAAGUGGAAAGCUAAAGUUGAGAAUCAGACCAGUUUGAAAGUCAAAUGCGUAAGGUCUGACAAUGGAGGAGAAUAUGACAAAUAAGAGUUCAAAGCAUUCUGUGCAGCUGAGGGAAUCAGAUUGAUGAGAACAGUUCCUGAUAAGGCAAGGCAGAAUGGGAUUGCUGAGAGGAUGAACAAAACAUUGAAUGAGCGUGCAAGGAGUAUGAGGAUACACUGUGGGCUUCCCAAAACAUUUUGGGUGGAUGCUGUGAGCAUAGUUGCAUACUUUAUCGACAGGGGACCAUCAGUUCCUUUAGGGUUCAAGAUUAUAGAGGAGGCGUGGAUAGGAAAAGAACUCAAGUACUCACACUUGAGUACUUUUGGUUGCAUUGCUUAUGUUCAUGUUGAUCCAGCAAAGAGAAAAAAGCUUGAUGUCAAGGCUGUGAAGUGUUACUUCAUACGUUAUGGUUCUGAUUUGUUUGGUUACAGGUUUUGGGAUGACAAGAAAAGAAAGAUCCUGAGACAUUGUGACGUGAAAUUUGAUGAGUCUGUCUUGUACAAGGACAGAGAGCAGAAGGUUCUAGAGAUUACAAAGCAAGUGGGAGUUGAGGUUGAGUUGGAUAAGAGUAACCCAAGAGAUGUUGAAGCAGAUACUCAACCAACUCCUACUGAAGAAUCUGAAGUGGAGCAAGUUACACCUAAUCAGGUGUUAAGGAGAUCAUCCAGAUCCAUCAGGGCACCAGAUAGAUAUUCACCUUCAUUACACUAUCUAUUGCUGACUGAUGAGGGGGAACCUGAGUCUUUUGAUAAGGCCCUACAGGUGGAGGAUUCGAUCAAGUGGGAGGAAGCCAUGGAUGAUGAGAUGAGGUCACUUGAGAAGAAUGACACAUGGGUGUUGACUGAGUUACCUGCAGGGAAGAGAGCUUUGCUGAACAAGUGGGUGUUCAGAAUCAAGACUGAACUAGAUGGCAAAAGAAGGUUCAAGGCUCGUUUAGUGGUUAAAGGAUAUUCACAAAGGAAAGGUAUUGAUUAUGCUGAAAUAUUCUCUCAUGUUGUGAAGUUAACCUCUAUUCGAAUUCUGUUGAGCAUUGUUGCAUCAAAAAUUUUUCAUCUAGAGCAAAUGGAUGUAAAAAUAGCAUUUUUACAUGGAGAUCUGGACAAAGAGAUCUAUAUGCAGCAACCAGAAGGAUUUAUGGUUCCAGGCAAGGAACACAUGGUGUGCAAGCUCACCAGGAGCUUGUAUGGACUAAAGCAAGCACCAAGGCAGUGGUACAAGAAGUUUGACUCCUUCAUGACCAAGAGUGGAUUCUACAAAGCUGAAAAGGAUCCUUGUUGUUACUUCAUGAAAUACACUGAUUCAUAUGUCUUUCUACUCUUGUAUGUGGAUGAUAUGUUGAUUGCAGGAUCUAUUAUGAGGGAGAUUAACAAUCUGAAGACCAGGUUGUCUUCAAAGUUUGAGAUGAAAGAUUUGGGUCCAGCAAAACAGAUUUUGGGGAUGAAGAAUUCUCGGGAUAGAUCUGCUGGCACUUUAAAUCUAUCUGAGGAGUUGUACAUUGAGAAGGUGCUGAGCAGAUUCAGGGUUAAUGAUGCUAAAUCCAAGACUACUCUAUUGGCAAAUCACUUUAAAUUGUAAAGGAGCAUUCACCCAAGACUGCUGAGGAGCGUGAUCACAUGGCACUUGUUCCAUAUGCUUCAGCAGUUGGUAGUUUGAUGUAUGCUGUGGUUUGCACUAGACCUGAUAUAGCACAUGCAGUGGGAGUUGUUAGCAGGUACAUGGUGAACCCUGGGAAAGAGAAUUAGGAAGCGUGAAGUGGCUUCUGAGAUAUCUGAGAGGUACAUCCAGUAGUUCACUUUGUUUUGGCGAAGGCAAGGUGACUCUACAGGGUUUUGUGGAUGCUGAUCUUGGUGGGGAUGUUGACUCGAGAAAGAGUACAUCCGGGUACAUUUACACCAUAGGUGGAACAACAGUGAGUUAGAUUUCCAGGCUUCAGAAGUGUGUUUCUCUUUCAUUUACUGAAGCUGAGUAUGUGGCAAUAGCUGAAGCUGGGAAAGAUAUGAUAUGGCUGGCAGAUUAUCUUGAGGAAUUGGGCAAGAAGCAGAGCGAGAAGAUUUUUUACUCAGAUAGCCAAAGUGCAAUACAGUUGGUGAAAAAUCCAGUCUAUCAUUCAAAGACAAAGCACAUCGGAAGGCGAUACCAUUUCAUUCGUAAGGCAGUGGAGGAUGGUGAUAUGUACUUAGAGAAGAUAGAGGGUGCAAGGAAACCGGCAGACAUGUUGACGAAAUGUGUUGAUGUUGGAAAACUGAGGUUAUGUAAAACCUCAGUUAGUCUGCUGUAGUUGUUGCUACAGAUGUUGCGGUGCGGUAAAGAUGUUGAUUAUGAAGAGAUUUUUUUUUAAAAUGUAUUUUUUGGAUGACUGAGUCAAUCCCCAAGUGGGAGAAUUGUUAGGUAGUGGAGCCUGAUUAAUUUUAGGUUUUCCUAUUUAUUCUCUAUUUUAGGUUUCCUAUUUAUUCUCUGUAACCAAAAAUACUCUGAUUUAUUAAUAUAAAUAUACCUCACCGCAGUGGAAGUUUACUCACGGGGUGUUACCACGAAAUAUUGGGUUUUCUCUUUCUCUCUCUAAAUCUCUCAUCUCUUUCUCUUGAAAGUUCUUGUGUUCUUCAUUCAUCUAGUGUGUGUGCGUGAAUUUGAUCCUAACAACUACUUUCACUAUGUACUAUAUGAAUCCUCAUCGACCAUGUAACUCCAAAUUAAGACUAACUUAUACCAGUAGUAACCCCACCCCACCCCCACCCACCCAAAACACACACACAAAAAAAGAACUGAUAAGAAGUUGUAUCAUCAUACAGGGGAGGUAAUGAAGCAGCAGACAUUCGAUUUUUUAGAAGAGCAGAAACGUAAUGCUGGCUGAGAAUAGUAAAUAGAGGUAUAUUUGAAGUGCACAAGACAAGCAAGAAAAGUAGAUCGACCAUAACCGUGAGAUAAUAAGCCUAAGCAAAAAAAGACAAUACAAUAUCAAGAAGAGGCCAAUACUUGCUUCUCAAGCUUAUCCAACUUGCAUCAGAAAUCAUUCCGCUUCUGCUCAAGCAUUUCCUGCUUCAGUUUAUUUGUAUUUUUACAUACAUCUUGGAGUUAUCUGUGUCCUUGUAUAAAUUCAAAAUUUACAACAUGUUUUCAAACAACUUUUCUUUGUAUUGCACUUACUUUUAAAUUGCUUUAUAUUGAAAUGAUUUAGUAUUAUUGAGUUAUCUUACUCAUGAGUUGAGUAGAGCCAAGCUAAGUGUUUCUUCUUACUCUUUUCAAGCUUAAAUUGUUUUAGCAUUUGAACUCGUAUACUAGUACAUUUAAUAUAUUGGUCUGCAUCGUAUCAUGAUGCAGAUACAGGUAAUGGGGAUCGACAUCCAAUGCACCGUUGAGCACUCUAGAGUCAGUUGGUGAGCAUCCUUGCAUUCUGGAGGACUCCUUUUAAUAUUUUUUUUUUCAGUAUUUUCUUUAUUUGAUGUUGUGGGGUGUGUCCCUACAUCCAUCUUAGUUUUAUAAGGCUUCAUAAAU